ACGGAAGGUGCGAGCGUUAAUCGGAAUUACUGGGCGUAAAGCGCACGUAGGCGGUUACUUAAGUCGGAUGUGAAAGCCCCGGGCUCAAACUGGGAAUUGCAUCCGAUACUGGGUGACUAGAGUACGGUAGAGGGGGGUGGAAUUCCAGGUGUAGCGGUGAAAUGCGUAGAGAUCUGGAGGAACACCGGUGGCGAAGGCGACGCGCUGGGCCUGGCCUGACGCUAAGACGCCAAAGCAUGGGGAGCGAACGG
rnacentral:rRNA from 1 species